UACGUAGGGCGCAAGCGUUGUCCGGAAUUAUUGGGCGUAAAGAGCUCGUAGGCGGUCUGUCGCGUCGGAUGUGAAAGCCCGGGGCUUAACCCCGGGUCUGCAUUCGAUACGGGCAGACUAGAGUGUGGUAGGGGAGAUCGGAAUUCCUGGUGUAGCGGUGAAAUGCGCAGAUAUCAGGAGGAACACCGGUGGCGAAGGCGGAUCUCUGGGCCAUUACUGACGCCGAGGAGCGAAAGCGUGGGGAGCGAACAGG
rnacentral:rRNA from 1 species